GCCACGACGGAGGAAAAGAAACUAACAAGGAUUCCCCUAGUAACGGCGAGUGAACCGGGAAGAGCUCAAAUUUGUAAUCUGGCCCUUGGGUCCGAGUUGUAAUCUAUAGAGGCGUUUUCCGUGCCGGACCGUGUCCAAGUCCCUUGGAACAGGGUAUCAAAGAGGGUGACAAUCCCGUACUUGACACGACGACCGGUGCUCUGUGAUACGUCUUCAACGAGUCGAGUUGUUUGGGAAUGCAGCUCAAAAUGGGUGGUAAAUUCCAUCUAAAGCUAAAUAUUGGCGAGAGACCGAUAGCGAACAAGUACCGUGAGGGAAAGAUGAAAAGCACUUUGGAAAGAGAGUUAAACAGUACGUGAAAUUGUUAAAAGGGAAACGAUUGAAGUCAGUCGUGUUGGUCGGAUUCAGCCUGGUCUCCGGGUGUAUUUCCUUCCAACGGGUCAACAUCAGUUUGGAUCGGCGGAUAAAGAUGGAGGGAAGGUGGCAUCCUCGGAUGUGUUAUAGCCCUCUGUUGCAUACGCUGGUCCGGACUGAGGCAUGCAGCUUGCCUUUAUGGCCGGGGUUCGCCCACGUUCGAGCUUAGGAUGUUGACGUAAUGGCUUUAAACGACCCGUCUUGAAACACGGGACCAGAAAAGCGUAUGCAACAGAGGGCUAUGACACAUCCGAGGAUGCCACCUUCC
rnacentral:rRNA from 1 species